UACGAAGGGGGCUAGCGUUGUUCGGAAUUACUGGGCGUAAAGCGCACGUAGGCGGAUUUGUAAGUCAGGGGUGAAAUCCCGGGGCUCAACCUCGGAACUGCCUUUGAUACUGCGGAUCUCGAGUCCGAUAGAGGUGAGUGGAAUUCCUAGUGUAGAGGUGAAAUUCGUAGAUAUUAGGAAGAACACCAGUGGCGAAGGCGGCUCACUGGAUCGGUACUGACGCUGAGGUGAGAAAGCGUGGGGAGCAAACAGG
rnacentral:rRNA from 1 species